CGGUCACGUUCGUUGCUUUCAAUAAAUGUAUACAUAAAGUUAAGAACGAAUAAAAAAUAUAAAUUAAUAUAAAUUAAACUCAAAUUCUAAUUUUUAUAUAACAUAUUUAAUCUGAAGCGCAAUUAAGCAGACAGAUCACUCCACGAACUAAAAACGGCCAUGCACCACCUAUCACAUAAUCAUGGAAGGACUAUCAUAUUUGCAUGCAUAUAAAUAAAUUUAUAUACAUUAUCACCUGUCAAUCCUUAAUGUGUACGGACCUGGUAAGGUAUCCCGUGUUGAGUCAAAUUAAGCCACAUGCUCCACGCGUUCUUGUGGUGCCCUU
rnacentral:rRNA from 1 species